GACGAACGCUGGCGGCGUGCCUAAUACAUGCAAGUUGAGCGCUGAAGGUUGGUACUUGUACCAACUUGAUGUGCAGCGCACGUGUGAGUCACGCGUGGGGCCUCUGCCUUUGAUCGGGGUACAUCCUUUGGACACGAGUGCUAAUCCCGCAUAAAAACUUUCAACACAGUUUUUAAGUUUGAAAUAUGCAAUUUCGUCACUCAAUCAUGGUCCCUCGUUGUAUUGGCUAGUUGGUGAGGUAAAGGCUCACCAAGGCGAUGCUAGAGAGCCGACCUGAGCGGGUGAGCGGCCACAUUGGGGCUGAGACACGGCCAAAACUGCUACGGGAGGCAGCAGAAGGGAAUCUGCGGCAAUGGAGGAGAGUAUGACCGAGCAAGGCCGCGUGAGUGAAGAAGGUUUUCGGAGCGUAAAACUAUGGUGGUAGAGAAGAACGUUGGUGAGAGUGGAAAGCACAUCAAGGGACGGUAAAUACCCAGAAAGGGACGGCUAAAUAAGUG
rnacentral:rRNA from 1 species